rnacentral:rRNA from 1 species
GCUGGCGGCAGGCCUAACACAUGCAAGUCGAGCGGAAACGAGUUAUCUGAACCUUCGGGGGACGAUAACGGCGUCGAGCGGCGGACGGGUGAGUAAUGCCUAGGAAAUUGCCCUGAUGUGGGGGAUAACCAUUGGAAACGAUGGCUAAUACCGCAUAAUACCUACGGGUCAAAGAGGGGGACCUUCGGGCCUCUCGCGUCAGGAUAUGCCUAGGUGGGAUUAGCUAGUUGGUGAGGUAAUGGCUCACCAAGGCGACGAUCCCUAGCUGGUCUGAGAGGAUGAUCAGCCACACUGGAACUGAGACACGGUCCAGACUCCUACGGGAGGCAGCAGUGGGGAAUAUUGCACAAUGGGCGCAAGCCUGAUGCAGCCAUGCCGCGUGUGUGAAGAAGGCCUUCGGGUUGUAAAGCACUUUCAGUCGUGAGGAAGGUAGUGUACUAUAAUAGCUGCAUUAUUUGACGUUAGCCGACAGAAGAAGCACCGGCUNACUCCGUGCCAGCAGCCGCGGUAAU